AGUGAACGCUGGCGGUAGGCCUAACACAUGCAAGUCGAACGGCAGCACAGUAAGAGCUUGCUCUUACGGGUGGCGAGUGGCGGACGGGUGAGGAAUACAUCGGAAUCUACUUUUUCGUGGGGGAUAACGUAGGUAAACUUACGCUAAUACCGCAUACGACCUACGGGUGAAAGCAGGGGAUCUUCGGACCUUGCGCGAUUGAAUUAGCCGAUGUCGGAUUAGCUAGUUGGCGGGGUAAAGGCCCACCAAGGCGACGAUCCGUAGCUGGUCUGAGAGGAUGAUCAGCCACACUGGAACUGAGACACGGUCCAGACUACUACGGGAGGCAGCAGUGGGGAAUAUUGGACAAUGGGCGCAAGCCUGAUCCAGCCAUACCGCGUGGGUGAAGAAGGCCUUCGGGUUGUAAAGCCCUUUUGUUGGGAAAGAAAAGCAGCAGGUUAAUACCCCGCUGUUCUGACGGUACCCAAAGAAUAAGCACCGGCUAACUUCGUG
rnacentral:rRNA from 1 species